rnacentral:rRNA from 1 species
UACAGAGGUGGCAAGCGUUGUUCGGAAUUACUGGGCGUAAAGGGCGCGUAGGCGGCUUGGUCAGUCCCGUGUGAAAUCCCUCGGCUCAACUGAGGAACUGCACGGGAAACUGCCGUGACUCGAGUCCGGUAGGGGAGUGUGGAAUUCCCGGUGUAGCGGUGAAAUGCGCAGAUAUCGGGAGGAACACCAGUAGCGAAGGCGGCACUCUGGGCCGGUACUGACGCUGAGGAGCGAAAGCGUGGGGAGCAAACAGG